AGCUCCCAGGAUGGGAGGUUGACUUGUGUGUGAGCAGGUCCCUGAAGGGAGAGGGUUGGUGUUUGUGUGAUGUGGGUCUUCCUGCAUGCACCCUGCAAGAUACCAUAACUCUGCCCAAUGCAGUGACUGUGGAAGGAAGAUUUGAGUUAAUUGAUGGCUGCCUGAUACAGUAAUGUUGGUGGUGUAAAACUCUUGCAGCUGCACAGAGCUGAGGAAAGCUGACCAUUCUGAGGAAAGCUGACAAAGCUGAGGAAAGCUUCACCAUCCUUCGCCUGGACAGGCCGCUGCCUUGCCCUGCACAAGCAGCAGAGCUGGUUAGGCCAGGUGAGAAGUCUAUGUAUGUUACUUCCUUGUCAAAGAAUCUUCAUUCUUAAAAUCCCACAGUGUAAAUAACUCCUUAUGGAGACAGGGCACUUGCCCAGGCUGCAAGACCUGCUCCCUGCCUUGUGUCCCCUCUGAGGAAGACUGCUGGAGAGGAAGGCUCUGCACGGAUCUGGCUGCUGGGGAACCCUCCUGCCCCACAGAGGCCUCACAGGGYUCUGCUACUACCUGUGACUGGGGGCUGCGGUGCCAGCUGCAGGUCUAGGCACUUAGCUGGGCAUUAAAUUAUUUUCAAAACACACAUGGUGCUGAUCUGCCCUCCUCCCCUGCUGYUCUCAACUCUACAACUAUAUGUAAUUGAAAUACCAAUUCUUCUCUGCAAGAUUUUGUACCUUAAUAUCUUUAAAAUGGUAGAAUUUCAUACUCUGAUACAUUAACAUUUUACAUUUAGAACAGGAAUUUAAGUUGAUAUUGCUAUUUCUGYAGUCAAACUCCUUAGUAAACUGCUGGUUCAAAUGCCGUGUAAGCAAACUGACUUCUACAGAUUAUUUSUUAGACCUCUUCUUUUACAAGCUGAAGAAAAUGGCGUUAUUUUCCACCACUCAAAUUUUGCAUUGAUUAGAAUUAUUUGAAAAAGUGCAAUCUCUUUUAAGGGAAACUAUAUAUAAAGGACAGUGUCAGCAUCUUUUAGAAGAAAACAAUUAAAAGGGUUAGGGUUGCAGAUUAUUUUGCCUUUAAGCAGAGUGGGUCUAGCUUGUUCAUUAAAACAAGCCKAAUACCAUACCUGGAAUAUGAUAAUAUUCCACAGGACUAAAAAUACAUAUUUCCUAGACUGAAGAAGGCAGAAUAUCACUAAGACUURAAGACUGACAGGUCUAAUGUCCGACUACUAUUCAAGUAGUAUUGYUGUUUUAUUUCUAUCAUCACUUUCUUUUUAAAUAAAAGCAGGCAGAUGCUCAGCUGAUCAAACUUAGUUUGCUACACAGCUGAGGAGGAUUCUAGACUGUUUYACUAAAGAUGAAAGUCUACAAAAACCAGGUUUAGAUUUAUGACUGAAAAUACUGCUUAACCUCCUUUAUAUAAAUGUAUACCCCAGUCCAAAAGAUGAACCUAUAGAGACAGUUUGUCUAGAUUCCCCUGUGUACCUGUUCAAAAUUAAUUUCCUUCAGAAUGGACCCCAGAGCAUGUGGUGAAUGAGAAGCACCAUCCUUGAAGACUUAAAAAAUG